rnacentral:rRNA from 1 species
GACGAACGCUGGCGGCGUGCUUAACACAUGCAAGUCGAACGGACAGGCCCUGCUCUUGUUGCUUUCUCGUGUGGCGCACGGGUGAGUAUCACGUGAGUAACCUGCCCUUGUCUUUGUGAUAACUUCAGGAAACUCGGGCUCAUACCGGAUAUAAUCUCCUGCUCCAUGGUGUGGGUUGGAAAGUUUCGGCUGUUGUGGAUGGACUCGCGGCUUAUCCGCUUGUUGGUGGGGUAGUUGCUUACCAAGGCUUUGACGGGUAGCCUGCCUGGGAGGGUUACCGGGGACAAUGGGACUGAGGGACGGACCAGACGCGAACGGGAGGCAGUAGUGGGGAGUAUGGCAGAACAGGGGGAAGCCAGAGGCAGAGACGCUGGGAGCGGGAUAACGGCUUUCGGGGGAUAAACAGAUGUCGCAGGAGACGAAGAGGGAGUGACGGUAAUGAGUAAAGAAGCAACGGCUAACUACGUG